GUUCCAGACUCCUACGGGAGGCAGCAGUGGGGAAUAUUGCACAAUGGGGGGAACCCUGAUGCAGCGACGCCGCGUGGGUGAAGGAGUAUUUCGGUAUGUAAAGCCCUAUCGGCAGGGAAGAAGCAAGACGGUACCUGACUAAGAAGCCCCGGCUAACUACGUGCCAGCAGCCGCGGUAAUACGUAGGGGGCGAGCGUUAUCCGGAUUCACUGGGUGUAAAGGGAGCGUAGACGGCCAUGCAAGCCAGGGGUGAAAGCCCGGGGCCCAACCCCGGGACUGCCCUUGGAACUGCAUGGCUGGAGUGCGGGAGGGGCAGGCGGAAUUCCUGGUGUAGCGGUGAAAUGCGUAGAUAUCAGGAGGAACACCGGCGGCGAAGGCGGAUUGCUGGACAGUAACUGACGCUGAGGCGCGAAAGCGUGGGGAGCAAACAGGAUUAGAUACCCGCGUAG
rnacentral:rRNA from 1 species